rnacentral:rRNA from 1 species
GACGAAGGGGGCUAGCGUUGUUCGGAAUUACUGGGCGUAAAGCGCGUGUAGGCGGUUGUUCAAGUCGGGUGUGAAAGCCUUGAGCUCAACUCAAGAAAUGCACUUGAUACUGGAUGACUAGAGGACCGGAGAGGAUAGUGGAAUUCCCAGUGUAGUGGUGAAAUACGUAGAGAUUGGGAAGAACACCAGUGGCGAAGGCGGCUAUCUGGACGGUUUCUGACGCUAAGACGCGAAAGCGUGGGGAGCAAACAGG